UGGACGUGGCCGGGUGCGAGAGCCUCCUGCUGAAGUUCCUGCAAACAUCGCUGGAGCUCACUGAGGACAAGGCCUGGACCGUGGGCCUGAGCCGGGAGCUGAGCCAGCAGCUGGGCAGCUCUCCCCGCCUSUCCUGGGAGAAGCGGUUCCUGUACAAGGCUCUCGGCACAGCCCUGGCAGCUUGUGGGUGUCUCCACCACGUGCAGGAGCAGACCUUGGAGCACCUGAAAGCAGCCAACUUCCUGGAGCUGUGG
rnacentral:lncRNA from 1 species